AUUUUAUAUAUGUAAAUAUUAAAUAUGUAUAAAGGUAAGUGUGUGCUUAAGUAGUUUGCUGAGCAGAACUGGCUUGUUGAGUUGUGGGACAUAAGGAUCAUCUUGUUUCAGAGCUUCCCAGGUUCAUCAGCAUUUUCUGAGAGUUAGCACAAGGCUGAUAUUUCCAGCUGCCUGCAAGAUUCUGUUGUAUGAGACAUAUCCCGAAGAUGUGGUCAGCGUGCCGUCACGUGCACUGCUCAUCCUAUAGAAUUUAUCACCUCUCUGCUGAAAGUUUUCAGUACAACCAAGGAUUUCAUGUCAUCCUACUGAGAUAUAUGAAGGUAUAUAAAAAAACUAAACGUGCCUUUUCUUUGAAAUGGAUGGAAAAGAUGGCUUCUUUCCUUUUGUGAAUUUGCUGCACUUUAUAACAAAGGUUUGAGUGCAAGCUGAGGAAAUUUUCUAUAUGUGGGUAGUCUCCCUGUUCCUUCAGGGAAGGCAAGAAAGCAGUAUGUAAAAGGAAGACACCUCUAGAAGAAGGAAAAAGGGCCUAGAAAAGGGUAAAUAAUUUUUUUCAUAUAUAAUCUGUCCAUGACCUUUUCCAUUUCUCCAUUCUUGCUUUAUCUUUUGGCCAUCAAAUAGUAUCUGGCAAUAGUAGCAGGUUAUUAUAGUUGUUUAAAAGCACUAAUAAGUUCAGAUAUUGUACUUUCUAUUGACAUUUAGCCAGGAAAUAGCAGAAUGGAGAAUGACAUAGUCCAAAAGCACUAACACAUGGUAUUGAUAAAAGCACUGGAACAUAUACUGAAAAAUCAAUCUAUUGCUUUAAUGACUGAUGCCUUCUUAUUUUGCAGUUUUCACUGUCCUCAAAUGUGCUAAUUACAUCAGUUAUUGCUUGCUGUGCUGAAUGGUUUUGUGGCUUCAUAAAUCAUCAUCAAACAUGAAAAAAGCUUCACCCAUACAAAGGAUAAACAAUAAAAUGCUCCAAGUUCAAACA
rnacentral:lncRNA from 1 species